UACGGAGGGUGCGAGCGUUGUCCGGAAUCACUGGGCGUAAAGGGCGCGUAGGCGGCUGGGGAAGUCGGCGGUGAAAGCCUGGGGCUCAACCCCGGGUCGGCCGUGCGAACUGGGGGGCUGGAGCACUGUAGAGGCAGGCGGAAUUCCGGGUGUAGCGGUGGAAUGCGUAGAGAUCCGGAAGAACACCGGUGGCGAAGGCGGCCUGCUGGGCAGUUGCUGACGCUGAGGAGCGAAAGCGUGGGGAGCGAACAGG
rnacentral:rRNA from 1 species